GACGAACGCUGGCGGCGUGCCUAAUACAUGCAAGUCGAACGAGAGCGACCGGUGCUUGCACUGGUCAAUCUAGUGGCGAACGGGUGAGUAACACGUGGGUAACCUGCCCAUCAGAGGGGGAUAACAUCCGGAAACGGAUGCUAAAACCGCAUAGGUCUUCGAGCCGCAUGGCUUGAAGAGGAAAAGAGGCGCAAGCUUCUGCUGAUGGAUGGACCCGCGGUGCAUUAGCUAGUUGGUGAGGUAACGGCUCACCAAGGCCGUGAUGCAUAGCCGACCUGAGAGGGUGAUCGGCCACAUUGGGACUGAGACACGGCCCAAACUCCUACGGGAGGCAGCAGUAGGGAAUCUUCCGCAAUGGACGCAAGUCUGACGGAGCAACGCCGCGUGAGUGAAGAAGGUGUUCGGAUCGUAAAACUCUGUUGUUAGAGAAGAACAAGUGCUAGAGUAACUGUUAGCGCCUUGACGGUAUCUAACCAGAAAGCCACGGCUAACUACGUG
rnacentral:rRNA from 1 species